GCAAACUUGGUCAUUUAGAGGAAGUAAAAGUCGUAACAAGGUUUCCGUAGGUGAACCUGCGGAAGGAUCAUUAAUAAUUAGAGGGUCUUGAAAGAGGCCAAAAUCUGAUUUUGUGGUAUAAAUGAAAAUAGAAUUGGGUUUAAAGAUGAUGUUUUUUGAAAGAAGGCAUCGACCCAAAACUUUUAUCAACUCUUAUUAUUUGACUGAUAUUAUCAAGUUAAUCGAAAGAUUAAAAAGUUUAAAUAACUUUCAACAACGGAUCUCUUGGUUCUCGCAUCGAUGAAGAACGCAGC
rnacentral:misc_RNA from 1 species